GUAGGUGAACCUGCGGAAGGAUCAUUAUUGAAUAAACUUGAUGUGGUUGUAGCUGACUUUCGCAAGAGAGAAUGUGCUCGCCCGUCACCUUUAUCUUUCCACCUGUGCACUUUUUGUAGAUUUGAAUUGUAGCUUUCCGAGGUAACUCGGUUGGGAGGGAUGUCAUUCGUGGCUUUUCUUGUAAUACGUUCAAGUCUAUGUUUUCAUAUACUCCAAAAAUGUAACAGAAUGUAUCAUUGGGCCUUGUGCC
rnacentral:misc_RNA from 1 species